UACGUAGGGUCCAAGCGUUAUCCGGAAUCACUGGGCGUAAAGCGUCCGCAGCCGGGAGUUUAAGUGAGAUGUUAAAUCGUGUGGCUCAACCAUAUCGAUGCAUUUCAUACUGGACACCUAGAGGAAAUCAGAGGCAAGUGGAAUUGGUAGUGUAGCAGUGAAAUGCGUAGAUAUUACCAGGAACACCAAUGGCGAAGGCAGCUUGCUGGGAUUUUUCUGACGGUCAGGGACGAAAGCGUGGGGAGCGAACAGG
rnacentral:rRNA from 1 species